AAUACGUGACCUUCUACGUCGAUAUACAAAUUAUACAAAAAUGCUGGAUGGCAUAAAAAUCCGCAGGCUGCUUAUAAAUUCUUGACUCACCGCAUUCCAGUUGGAUUGUACUAGUGCACGCACGCAAUCGUCAACUAAUGAUUGUCCAGGAAUUGCCUGUCGCGAGAAAAAUUUAUUCGUCGUUCGUUUCUCGAGUGGAUUAUUUUCAAUGUUCGUUUCUCUUACCGUUUUCGACAAGAGCGUAGCACGGUUCUCCACUCGAAGACACUCGAAUCUAUCGUAGAAGAUCGCCAUGGCCCAUGGUUCCCGGAAGUACGCGUAAAAGUCCGAGAUCAACGAUUUCUAUAUCACGCCGACGAUACCUCGGACAAUAUCGGCCUUUGAAGGGUAGCAAACACGCGCACAUUUCGUCUUCGUCCUCGAAAGAUGUUCUAAGAAUGCAACGGCACAAUCCGAGGCGCCCACCACAACCACCCUCGAAUCGAUGAUCGGUUUUGGUAUCAAUGCGAUCCUUGGUGACGUCAUGAAAAGCGAAAAACGUUCAGUUCGUUUCAUAGGCUCGUCAGCUUCCUCGAAACCAUGGUACUUGUAUUCGAUUCUUCGACGAGGCCUCACGGAAGCCAUAGUGUUCAAGCAUAUCGUCAGAGGAUGCGUACGAGUCUAAAAUAGCAGUACGUCUCAGGAUGAACUACAGGGUAAGUCAGAAAGGAAAUUUAUCUCAUGUUGUGCUGACACUUUUUGAUUUACAGGGAACGCGUGAAUUGGAAGGAGGUGAAAAAGAAUGGCCUGCAGGAUCUCCAGAUUGUGUAUCGAUUGUGUAUCAAUUUGUGGCCUUUUUAAGUAUUUAAGAAACAAGAUCUAGCCUAGAAAGCCAGAAAUUGCAAGGAAAUAUAAUUCAAGAAUUUCA
rnacentral:misc_RNA from 1 species